rnacentral:lncRNA from 1 species
UUCUUUUGUGGAUCAAACUCAUAUUUGCCUAAUAUUACAUGCCAUGCUGAGGUGCCUAGUCAAGCCUAAGUGUCCCUUGCCUCGUGAAAAUGUUACUAAUCUUCCAUUUGUUCAUCUUGAGUACUCCCAUUGUGGUUGGCCCCUACACCUAUGUUUGUUGCAAGGUGGGGAAUAGAAGUUGUCGGAAGGCCAUGGAAAAAUCUCUACCUUAUCCUAAGUUCCUAACUAACAUGUUCUCUUUAUGUUGUUACAGAAAUUGACAUGAAUCUAAAAUAUAGCAACAGAAAAAUGUGGAUCGAUUCAGCCCAACAGAUAGCUUGUCCUCAAUAUGCAAAAACUUCUUACGAAACCCUAAAUCAAGUUCUCCCUUGCCUCACCUAUGUGAUGCUAGACUAUGAUUCUUGGGACCUUUCCUUCAUCUCACCUUCCCUAGCGUUGAUCCUCUUUCCAUUUACCUUAGCAAUAAUCUCAAACUGCAGGCUGCAGGGCUUGAUCCAUAAUACUACAAUUAAUUCUAAAUAUAUUCAAAACACCUUGCAAAGCCUCUUUGGAAUAGUACGAGCCCUACAUGAUGUAUGCUGGCAUGGAUAGUUGGUUGCUGUUUGUGGGGUUGUUUCCUUGUACAAGCAUCCAUGUACCCAUCUUCAAUGACAAUGAUAAGAAAGUAGUACAUGUCAUGCUUGUUGCUUCAAGAAUGUGGGGGGAAAGGGCCUUCUGGUAAUUAAGAGGAAAUUUCUUAUCUGAUAGUAAAAAAAUUGAGACUUCUUUAUUUGACAUUUAAAAUUUGAACUUUUUUGUUUGACAUUGUGACUGUGUUGAACUUUCAUUCUUUUUUGACACUUUCUUCCAAUCCAAACCCGUGGAUUCUCUCGCCUCUUUUCUUGAACAAAAUGACAUACAAAUCACCUACUAAGUUCAUGAAAC